GCGUUGUUAGCUCAGCUGGAUAGAGCGUCGGUCUACGGAACCGAAGGUCGGGGGUUCGAAUCCCUCACAACGCACCA
rnacentral:tRNA from 1 species